UGGGGAAUUUUGGACAAUGGGCGAAAGCCUGAUCCAGCAAUGCCGCGUGUGUGAAGAAGGCCUUCGGGUUGUAAAGCACUUUUGUCCGGAAAGAAAUCCUUGGCUCUAAUACAGUCGGGGGAUGACGGUACCGGAAGAAUAAGCACCGGCUAACUACGUGCCAGCAGCCGCGGUAAUACGUAGGGUGCAAGCGUUAAUCGGAAUUACUGGGCGUAAAGCGUGCGCAGGCGGUUUGCUAAGACCGAUGUGAAAUCCCCGGGCUCAACCUGGGAACUGCAUUGGUGACUGGCAGGCUAGAGUAUGGCAGAGGGGGGUAGAAUUCCACGUGUAGCAGUGAAAUGCGUAGAGAUGUGGAGGAAUACCGAUGGCGAAGGCAGCCCCCUGGGCCAAUACUGACGCUCAUGCACGAAAGCGUGGGGAGCAAACAGGAUUAGAUACCCUGGUAGUCCACGCCCUAAACGAUGUCAACUAGUUGUUGGGGAUUCAUUUCCUUAGUAACGUAGCUAACGCGUGAAGUUGACCGCCUGGGGAGUACGGUCGCAAGAUUAAAACUCAAAUGAAUUGACGGGGUCAAGCUGUUUCC
rnacentral:rRNA from 1 species